rnacentral:lncRNA from 1 species
AGCCUAUGGAGCCUAAGAAAAUUAGAGUGGAGCCUAAAGUUUUAGGACAUAGUUCUGAAAGAGAAAAUAUUGGCUACCACACCUAGAUUUCAAAUGGCAAGCAUGAAAGAGGUUUGGAAGGACUUCACAAAGAGGAGCAUCAAGGAUCCAGGUGUCCUUCCAAGAUAGUAUAUCUAGUCGAUUGACAACCAUAAAUCUAAUUCGAUUCUA